UACGGCCACAUUAUGUUGAAACACCGGUUCCCAUACGAAGUUAAGCAGCAUCAAGCCUCGUCAGCACCUAGAUGGGUGACCGCUUGGGAAUACCAGGUGCUGUAA